AGAUCCGCCUGGCUCUGCCUCCCGAGUGCUGGGAUUAAAGGCGUGCGCCACCACCGCCCGGCUGUCAUGAGGAUUUUGUAGCCAAUAAGAUUAAUCAUGUCUCAUCCAGUCUCAGAACACCAGCCUGCCUAAGAGACUGCAGGACUAGGAAGCCUCAUUCAGCUCCUUGUCCAGAACUUUUCUUAGGUUUCUCAGGCUCUAUGUUUGGAUAUUUGAGCCUCCACAUUGGACACCAUAUAUAAUCGAAUUUUCCUUUGGGCUGCCAACUCACAAAUAAUGACAUGGAGACUUAUUAUGAAAGCUCAGUCCAUAGCUUAGGCAUAUUCCUAACUAGCUCUUAUAGCUUAAAUUAACCCAUUUCUAUCCAUCUAUGUUUUACCAUGUGGCUUUUUACCUUUCUUUCAUUCUGUAUGUUUGACUCCUUCCAUGUCUCUUUGGCAUUCGAUUAUCUCCUUCUACUUCCUCUCUCUGCCUGGAAGUCCGGCUAUAACUCCUGCCUAGAGCUCUGUGUUAAACAUUUUGUUGUGGGAGAUGUUCUAUGGUGAUGUGUUGCUUUUAGAACAUAAUUUUACUUUAUAUUCCUUUUAGAUUGAUUUGCCUUAAAGUUCUGCUGAAUACACAUACACACAUAUAUACAUACACACAUACAUACACUAAUUUAUUUUUCAUCUUUCCCCUUUUUACUUAUUUUUUUUUAAUGUGCAUUGGUGUCUUGCCUGCAUGUAUGUCUGUGUGAGGGUGUCAGAUCUUAGAAUGACAGACAGUUGUGAGCUGCCAUAUUGGUGCUGGGAAUUGAACCAGGGUCCUUUAGACAAGCAGUCAGUGCUCUUAACCGCUGAGCCAUCUCUCCAGCCCUCUUUUCUCUUUUUAAAAAAAUUUAUUCAUUUAAUUAUUUUAAUGUGUAUGGGUGUAUGUCUGUGCACCACCUGUGUGCCUGGUGUCCUCACAGGCCAGAAGAGAGCAUUGGAUCCCCUGGAACUGGAGUUAUAGAUGCUUAUGAAGCACCAUGUGGGUGCUGGGAUCAGAAUCUGGGUCCUCUGGAAGAAGAGUCAAUGCUCUUAACCAUCGAACCAGCCUCUCCCUUUACUUUCCUAUCUCCUUCUGAAACACUAGUCAAAUCUGAAUCUGUUCUUAUUGUCCCUCUGGACAACUACGGAUCCACCUAGUAUUGAAAACACAUUUAGCACACCUACGAUCCUAGCUUAGCCAAUGAAAUGUGCUCAGAGCACUGAGGUCAGGCUCCAGCUGGGCAGCAUCACCCUACCAUGCAUCCUUCCAGGUUGCCACUGAAUGACUGAAUUAGCGUCCUAAGAUUUAUUUAUCAGUUCCGAGAGCCUUCGUUUGCAGCUGGGCUCCAAUUGCCACAGUUAAACAAAAGUAAUAUCUCCCAGUUGUCCAAAUACACUGGUGUUCUGUCAUUUCAACAUGGUCGUGACUGGCUGCUAAUAUUCCUAAAAUUGGUUCAGCUUCUUCUUCUACCCAAAUCACCUUAGUCAAACCUUAACCACAACCAACACCAGAUCCUACCAUUCUCCUGGGCAGAAACACUGGUGCCGCUUUUUAAUUAUUCUUGGUAAAAAUUGAAGCCAACGGGGCCCUCGGAAUGCCUUGACCACAGGCACUCACUCAUCCCAAGCCACACUGCUCCUGUAUCUUUCAGUUCCAUUUACCCUCUGGGGCCCUCAAGUUGGCAUGCACUUUCCUUUCUACCUCUGAGCUAAGAGCAAGCUGUUCUUUCAACCUCUCUAUCUUCUUCUCUAUAGAGGAGCCUAUCUCCAAAUAGCGACUCAUUCUGAGUUCAAAUCCCAGAAUCACCCUUGCUAGGCUGCUCUCUGGCCCGAGUAAGUCGCUCAACACGUCCCCGUGUCCAUCUACACCUUGAGGAUGGUUAAAAAGAGAAUUGUGAGAUUUUUAACUUGCAAACAGAUUGGGCAGCAGGUGGAAAAUGACUUAUCAUUUUAGCAAUACUCCUAUUUUACUCCGUUCAUCUACUGUUGGCCAUGUUCAAGUCCGUCAUCUUGAGUACACUGAUGGUAGCCCACCUCACCUCUCCCCCCAACCCCCAAAUCCUACUUCUGGAUGAUUAUUUUCCAUGAACACAGAAAAUGAACACGGAAAAAGGCUGGUCCUUCCAGGCUAGGGAGGGCCCUGGGAGUGAACUAGCUGAACAAGACUAGUUCUAAGUCGGAACACAUCGAGCACCGGCAUAGCUUUAGGAAAGGAAUGUUCUUGACCUGGAGCAACCUCGAAGAACUUGGGUUCACUCGGGAGACCACCAGAGGCCCCGCGAGGAGGACCAGGCUUAAGUACAGGGUCACCAGCAACAUGGCAAUGGGUGGAGGACCUGCCGCCGGCAGCCAGUGGCCCCGCGGUCCCGGCGAUGGACUGCCCUACCAUGCCCGCCCACAGUCUUUCUGAGGAUUGGCUGCUCUCUUUCCUGUCCUGCCCCCUCCGAAAGGCCCGCUGAUUGGCUGCGGCUUUCUGGCCAGCCCCGCCCCACUCCCCGGCGCUGGUAUCAGCGCAGAGUGCUGCAGCUCGGUCUUUCUGUCCCCGGCUCGGUGACCGACCUUCCGGAGCCGAUCCCCAGGGCUCAGUCGUGCGGCCUCCUCGGACCCAGGCGCAGGCUGAAAACUACAAGAAAGAAACCAGUGAGCAGAAUGCCUUGAAGCCGGCUCCAAGGGGGUAAUGCCUCCAAGGUGAAGUAGGCUGGCCCGUGUCCCGCCUUGGUAUUAGGGCGUGGUAACAGAUUCAUUCUCACUUUGUUGCUGAGAUAGGUGCUGAAGUCCCAUUUUACAGAUAGAGAAUGAGGGCCCUGUGAGAGGAUCCCUGAGUAGUCUUGUAGUAAUUGAUUGCACUGAAGGUAGUUUCCCCCAAAUUAUCAAUAUGUUAGGUGGUGGUUCGAUUGAUGUUUCUCUAUGCCUGGCUGCCCUAGAACUCAGAGUGUCCCACUUCUGCCAAGGUGCAACCAAAAGGGAGAUUUGCUAGAUCAUUAGAAUGUGUUGGUAUAGGGGGUGGUUCUUGUAUCCCCCUUGCAUGCUAGGACAAGUUCUUUGCUAGGGCCUAGUCAUGAGCCUGCAGUCAAGAUGUUAUUAGCCUGUAUAUUGCUGCAUAUCACUCAUUUUCCAGAAUCUUAAAUAAAAGCUUUUCCUGUGUCAAUCCCAUAAUGGUCUUUUUCUUUUUUUAACUAAUCAUAUGUGUUUGAGUCUUUGCACUGGAACACGUGGGUGUCAGGACAACUUGGGGUAGUCUGUUCUACUGUGUGGAUCCCUAGGAUCAAACUUGGGGUGUCAGUCAGGCUUGGUGCCGGGUACCUUUAGCUGUGGGGUUGUUUUGGCUUUUCCAAACAUAAUUUCUUAUAUAUUGAAUGAAAAGAAAUAAAAAGGAAAGGGUAUGACUGCUCCUAGGUACGUUAGAAGAGAAACUUAAGUAGAUAAAAGAGAAACCAUGGGUAGAGGCAGAGUCAUCUGUCUGAACCCAAAGGACAUAACCAGACUGAGGUGGGGGGAGAGGGGAACCAGGGAACCCGGUCCAGCACUCAAGAGGCCAAAGGGUGGGUAACAACUUGUGGAGGAAGGGCAGCCCAGCACCUGGGCUGGAGACUUCAGGUUAGAGGGUGGGGUAUGCCAACCAUACCCUGUAACAGGGACUGAGGGAUGCUGGGAGAACUUGGCAGUCAGGUCCUCUUUGAUGAGUAGGUACCUCAACCUUUUGUUGCAGGUUUGAAACUUGAACCCUUGAUUUCCAUUCUGCUGGGCAGGGUCUGUGUGUGUGAGACACCAGACAUGUACCAACACAUGCACCUUUUUACAUGUUUCCAGGGAUCUAACUUGUCAUUAGGCUGCAUGGCAGGCUCUUAUUUUUCAAGUAAGGUCUCGUAGAGGAAGCUGGCAUCAAGAUACAAUGUAUAAAAUUAUCAGUAACAGUUACAGUUUGUGUUUUAAAUACCAGUUGUUUCUGUUUUACACAAUAGCUUUAAUGUUAAAUAAAAGCACUUCUGUGACCCAACUAGAUAAAACUCAGCAGUUAGCUACAGUCAUACUGGCCACAUUGUCAAGUGCUCGGUAGCCACAUGUAAGAAUUUUACUGAAAACAAUAGACCAUUUUUGCCCUCUAUAUACAGGCUAUGUAGUUUUGACUGUCUCAGAAGCAAAAUUAGGUCAUUUGGUAGACUUUGUCUUUAACACCGGUUUGAACUGGAAUCCUGGGAAGCUCUGAAAACAGUUUUGAAAGCAGCAAGGCAGGCUGGAGAGCUGGCUCACCAGUUGAGACAACAAACGUGUUGCUGUUGCAGAGCGUCUGGGUUUGGUUCCCAUCAACCAUGUGGAGGCUCACAACCAACUCCAGUUCUAGUGGGUCUGGCACUUAGGACCUCUGGGUACCGGGCAAGCUCCAGACUCAAACUCUAAAAAUUAAAAAAAUAUACCCAAAGUACCUCAUGUGGGCUUUUGUGCUGUAAUUUCUGUGUUUAGGUUGCAAUGUUACAAACAGGAGGCCACACAAAGAGACAGGAAGGAAACAGGCAGAGACUUGUUGGUUUCUGAGUAUGUACUUGUUGAGUCCAUUUAAAUUAGAAAUUUAAGAUAUAUACAGAAUACAAAAUAGUCAAGUUAUAAAUUUUUACAGGGAUUGAGGAUAAAGGAAGAAAGCGAUUUUUAACUGCCCAACACUCCUCAUUCUCCUCCCUCCUCCUCUCUUUUUUCUCUUCUUUUUUUUUUUGAGACAGACUCUCUAGUCCUGGUUGACCUAGAACUCAAUGUAGACUAGGCUGGCCUCAAACUCAAGAGACUCGACUGCCUUGGAUUAAAAGCGUGCAACGGCACUCCUGGUGCUUCUAUUUCCUGCUGAUAAGACUCCAAAACAAGCCGAGCGGUGGUGGCACACACCUUUGCAGAUCUCGUGUGAGUUCAAGGCCAGCCUGGUCUACAGAGUGAGUUCCAGGACAGCCAAGGCUACACUGAGAAACCCUGUCUGUCUCUUAAAACUAAAAAUAGCCAGGUGGUGGUGGCUCACGCCUGUAAUCCCAGCACUCGGGAGGCAGAGGCAGGCGGAUCUCUGUGAGUUCAAGGCCAGCCUGGUCUACAGAGCUAGUCCAGGACAGGCUCCAAAACUACAGAGAAACCCUGUCUUGAAAAACCAAAAAAUAAAAAAUAAAUAAAUAGAUAAAUAAAAAAUAACCAAAAAUAAAAAGACUCCCAAAUGAAAAAAAAUUUUUUUUGGUUUCUUUUGGUUUUUGAGACAGGAUUUCUCUGGCCUUGAACUCAGAGAUCCACCUGCCCUCUGCCUGUCAAGUGCUGGGAUUAAAGGCGUGCACCGCCACCUCCCCACUACAAAAUUUCUCAUUGCAGUCUUAGUAUUUCUGCCUGUUAGGACCAGUCAUUCUUCCUUCAGAGACAUUUCCAUAGAGAAUCACGCUGGCCUCUAGCUUUGCGUUGACAGUUUACAGUUUGCAGGUGUCCGAGAGUUUGCACUCACCUUGAACAUUUGAGCCCUGUGUGCUCUCAGACUUAGUAGUUCUUCACCCAGAGCUGGCUUGCUGGGCCCUGGGUUAACAACUCCAUGUAUUACCACACUCCACUUUCAGAGGCUGCAUGAUUCACCCAUGAAGGCAGUGGAAGAUGUUUAGAGACGUUCAGCCUGUAUCACAUGCUGACAUUUCCCCAAGGCCAACGGGAACACCUCUGUACCCUGAAUGUAUACCCAAACUACAGGUUCUUGUUCAAUUUGCUUUGGCCUCGGCAAGAUCCACAAAGGUAACACUGAGAAGGUCUGCAGGAGUUUUGUGUGCAAGUUUUCUUUCAGAGUGAGUUAACUUUGCCGCUCCUUUUCUCAUAAUUGGCCGUUGGUACACCUCAGAUUUCUGGCCCCCAGUCACUUCAUGGAUUCUGUAGCUGACUGGAUGAGGUCUCUUCAGAUGUAACAGUUAUUGGAUAACUUAGCGCUGUCAGUGGAUCUCAGCCUCCCUAACACUAUGAACCUUAAAUACAGUUCCUCAUGCUGUGGUGACCCCCAACCACAAAAUUACUUUUGUUGCUACCUCAUAACUUAUGAUUUUGAUACUGUUAUGAAUCACAAUAUGAGUUUCUGAUAUGUGGCAUCCCCCCUCACACAUACAUACACAAAAGGGUCAAGACCCACAGGUUGAGAACUGAUGUUAGAUGAACCAAGUUACGACCAAUACCAGCAAUAGCUACUAUGGUUAAUUUCACAAGCUACUCAUGAAGUAUUAAAGAAGAAAAGUACAAAUUAUCUGUGGAGAAUUGAUGGUUUAGGCAUUAUACCACCUCAACCUUCAUUUUUUUCCACCUAUUAAGGGUAAAUUUAUGUUUCUCCAAUUGUUGAGGAAAUGGGGGUGAUAUUUGAAGUGCCACAUUAUGGCAGACAGCACCACACACCUCCACACAGAAUCUAAAGCAAAAAAAAUGUGUCCUGAAAACUGCCCGUGAGCUGUUUCAGUUAGUUUGAGCUGGUUGUGGUAGCUCACAACUUUAAUCUUUGCACCUGGGAGGCAGAGGCAGGAAGAUCUCUGAGUUUGAGGCCAGCCUGGUCUACAAGGCUAGUAGUAGUUCCAGGGCAGCUAGAGCUGUUACUUGAGAAACUCUGUCUCGGAAAAAAAAAGAAAAAGAAAACAAAAGAAGGAGCUAGUUUGAAGCUAACCGUUUUUCUAUGGGUACGGGGGUGGGGGUGGGGGGGGAAUCAAUAUGAUCAAUUUUCAAGUACCUAACAAAGUGGAUGCUGAUGUCUCCAGUCUGAAUAAUGCACUACCUGGGGCUGGGCAUCUAGAAUUCUUGUGCUUUGGAACCCACGCUGCAAAUACCACAUACAUUUAUUUGGAGUUGAAUGUAACACUGAAAAAGAGCAUUUUGUAAGCUCUGAACGUUUUACAUACUUUUCCAGGUCAAAGUCUGCAGAGUUAUUUUUAUUGUAUGAGGGAUUUCUCUGCACGUACUUCAUGCUUGCCCGAGGGCACUGGGUCUCCUGGAACCAGACAGUUGGAGGCUGCCAUGUGGGUGCUGAAACCAAACCGGCCACUACCCCACUUUCUCACCAGGAAUGCAUAAGCACUUCGAAACACUUUUCAUGUUUUAUGAACCUUCUCACUCAAGGUUUGCAAUAUUAAAUAUAAGAUAAUUUGAAGUUACUUGCUAAGUGAAGGAAUGUGAUCUGCGCUGAUAGUCCUUUACUGGAGGGGUCGCUUUGCCUUUGAGGGAGGGGAUAAGGACUGCGAUAAGUGUUUGCACGGGGGGAAAGGCACUUCAAACUAUAAAUGUCGCCUUAUCCCACUUAAGAAAAAAAAAAUCAUGAGCUAGAGAAUGAGUGGGAACAGCGGGAGCAGUUAACUCCCUUACCCAGGGUACCAAGCUCUGCCUCAGGCACUAAAGAAUACUCCAAUGGGACCAAAGAAGCUCCCUUUGCACGGCAGGGGUAGAUGGCAGUACCCGUAGGUCCCCUAGCUGGGAGCGGUUGGUUAACCCCAGUGACUCAAAGUGAAACACCCCGGGGACCUGACGAAAGCAGCUAGGUUCGCGGGACGCGAAAACACUGGUAGACACGUCUGCCAAUCACCGGUGGGUGGCUCUGCUUGCAUGUAAUAGGUUAAGCCCAAGCCCCAACUCCACCCCUUCUGCCUGAAUCCCCGCCUCGCCAGAGUUCGGGCCCUCUGCUGACAUCCGGAGAAGGAAAUAACCGUAGCCUGAGCUUGCUAUUGGAAUUCAGGGUACAGAGGCGUCCCGUUUCCCGGACCCGUUUCACGCCGAUCUGACGGGUCCUGUUGUCUCUUUCCUACCGUCGGCCUAACGUCCUGUGUCCCACCAUCACCCAGUCCCAAGCAGAUGGUGGUUUUACCUGUACUUGGAGGAAGAUGAGUCGCCUAGACCUUGUCAACCCAUUUCUUUUGAAGCCGUCUUAGCUCUACACUUACAUUUCCUUCUGUAUAGUUAUGCAAGAGGCAUUGAUCUCGCGGGCGGGAGGAAUAUGGCAAUUACAACUAAAUAUUAAAUCAUUAAAGUAGCACCCAAUCGACAGUUAUAAACAUUGUUCAAGAAAGAACUCGGAGACAGGAAGGCAAGUCCCAUCAUGCCUGCUGUCUCUCCAUCCACGGUAAUCUUUUCUUCCGGGUCGCGCUUGCUUUACAUCCAGCCAGGAUUACUCCUGCAAGCAGUUUGGUCAAGAUGUAAGAAUACUCAGCUCCUUCUCCAGCACCAUGUCUGCCUAAAUGCUGCUGUGUCCUCCCAGGACAAUAAUAGACUAAACCUCUGAACUGUAAGUGAACCACCCCAGUUGAAUGUUUUUCUUAGUAAGAAUAGCCACGGUGUAGGUGGAAGUUUCUGUCCCACCAGCAGCUCCCAAAUAAACACACUGAAGCUUAUAUUAAUUACAAAUGUUUGGACAAUAGCUCAGGCUUAUUACUAACUAGCUCUUAGAACUUAAAUUAACCCAUUUCUAUUAAUCUAUAUAUUGCCAUGUGGCUCAUGGCUUUACCUGUCCUCUAGCUUGUCUUGCUCCUUGUGUUUCCUGGUGACUCCACUGACUCCGCCCUUCUUCCUCCCAGCAUUCUGAGUUUGACUUUCCCAUCUAUACUUCCUGCCUGGCUACUGGCCAGUCGGUUUUUUUAUUAACCAAUGAGAGUAAUAUAUAUUCACAGUGUACAGAGGACACCAUGGCCAUGGUGUCUCUUCACGGUAGUAGAAACACUAAGAUACUCCUCAAGCUACUUUUGGUGAUGGCAUUUCAUCACAGCAAUUGAAACCCGGUUAAGAUUGUGAGAUAUGGAGGUGCCCACAUACCAUUUCUUUGUGUGGAUAGCCAACUGUUCUAGUAUGUUUCAUUUAAAAGAUCACAUCCUCACUUGGAGUUGCCACAAGACAACUGGUCAUGUCUAAAUGGACUAAUUUCCCAACUCUAUUCCAUUCUGUCAGUUGGACUGUGUAUCUUUGUAUCAAUACCAAAUGUCUCUACUACUAUUGCUCUUAUGACAAGCCUUGAUGGUCUAUCAGGAAAUUUGAUUAUAAGUUCAUUUAAAUGUCUUGUGCAAUCAUUGGAUACAUGGUAGACAGCAUAGACACAGUACAUUUCAAUUCUCACUGAAAACUUUUUGGAGUAGCCCUGCUCUGGAAGGCAUCUAGAGGUCAGUUUAGGGGCCGUUGUUUCAUAGCUGCAUGCUCAUGGGUUUAGUGUUGGGAUAUUCUUCAAAAUAUUUACCUAUGCAGGGGCUGGAGAGAUGGCUCAGCAGUUAAGAGCACCUGAUGCUCUUCCAGAGGACUCAGGUUUGGCUCAUAGAACCCACAUGGCGGCUCACAACCAUCUGUAACUCCAGUUCCAGGAGAUCCAACACCCUCUUCUGACUUCCAUGGGCACCACACAAGUGUGUAGUACUGUCGUGAUGUAUUGUGUCCCCCAAUAUACUGUGAACCAAUAAAAUUUACCUGAAGAUCAGAGGAAAAAGCCAACCACUAUAUAGAAAUCAGGCAACAGUAGCACACACCUUUAAUCCUAUCACUUGGCAGGCAGGGAUCUGUCUGGAUCUCUGUGAGUUCAAGGCCACACUGGAAACAGAGUCAGGUGUGGUGGUACAAGCCUUAAAUUCCAACACUAGUUAACCAUGGAGGUCUGGAGGUCUGUACAGACAGACAGGAAGUGACAGAGCUGGACAGGAAGAGGAAGUGAUGUAGCUGGACAGAGAGGGCAAAUCGGAUGGCAGAACAGGAAGGCAUAUGUGUAUGGGCAGACAGGAAGUCUUGUCUUUGGAAGCUGCGGAGUUGAUGAGGUGAGGUUAGCAUUUCCUUAUUUCUCUGAUUUCUCAGGUUUUCACCCCUAUAUCUGGCUCCGUGUUUUUUAUUUAAUAGGACCGUUUAGAAAUUCAUCUACAUACUACACAUAUAUACUUGUAGGCAAAACAGUCAUACCAUGAAAUAAAAUAAGCAAUUUUUAAAUAUCAAAAUAUUUAUGUUAAGCCUUUUUACAAGAAACUCAGAACACAGUUUCUUGGCAAGCAGAAGACUCUAGAACUGCACAGAUUGGAGGUGUGCCAUACCAACAUGGCUCCUGCCACAAACAGUACUAAUUCCACACGUCUCAUGUAGUCUGUGUAUGCCUGGAAGCAGUGUGUAUGCAUUACUUUACAGUUUUGGAGAGAUAAAUAAGAUACCAAGUUCUUUUGCACUUGUACUUUUAGAAAUGAAAAUAUAAAAUGGGUUUCUUUGAUCAGACAGGAUGAAAUACAUAGCUUCAAAUCAUAAAAAGUUUCCUGUUGAAAUACAGUGGCUACUAGGCAAGGGCUAACUGUUCAUUUUGUUCAAGUGGGAGACUGAAUAAUGGCGUGUAAAUAGGCCCACUCUCUAAUCCUGGAGCCUUAUACAGCAAAAAGGGCUUUGCAGAUACAGUUCCACUCAGGAGCUCGAGAUGGGACAAUUGUCUUGGGUCACCUGUAAGGAGGCUGAAAGAGAUCUGACCACAGGACAGAAGGGAAGAAGAUCUGACCACAGGACAGAAGGUAGCAUAAUGCAGUGAUAAAAAUGUGUCUGCGGGCACCAUGGGCUACGCUGCUGGCUUUGAAACCGGAAGAAGGCGACCCUAACCAAGAAAUGCAAAGACUGCAGCUUUUGACGCUGGCACAGGUAAAGAAACAUUGUCCCCUAGUGCCUCCAGGGGGUGUGGCCCAGUUGACACUUUGGUGUUGGCUCAGUGAAACUGAUUUCUGAUUCCUGGUCUCCAGGCCUCCAGAAGUGUAUAAUGAUACAUGCAUACUGCUUCAAGGCACAUACAUGUUACAGCAGCCAUGGGAGUUGAUACAGUCUGUGACAGCAGCUGCACUGGUAUGGAACACCUCGAAUCAGUGAGGGUCCAAUCUUACUCUUGCCAAGGAAGCAUAUGUGGCAGAUCUCAUGAACCCUGUUUUCUGGUGCAGACACACCUAUAUGUGUCCAACACCAACUUAUCACAGAGUUCUUUGUGAAGGACACUCAGGCCUGGAAAGGCUGCUAACAACAUCCGCUAUGGCGGAACUCCAGGACUACAGUCCCUGAGGGGUUCCCUUGACAAUGUCAUCCGUUGCUUUUCAUCAGCCAAGACCACACAUAAACUGCCUCAUUUUUUUUUCCUCACAAAAUCUGAUACCAAAGAGAGAUGUUUUAGCUCAAUUCAUCUUUCUCUUCGGAACACUAGAAACAUCAAGUCAGACGCAGCUCACACUUCUCUUGAUAACUUUCGUCACUUUAGUAGUGAUUGGGGGAUGAUGACAAGCCAUUCUUCUUCCCGACCUCCCCUCAGUGGGGAAUUCAAACAGCUGCCGCUGCUGCUCAUGAAAUCUCACUGGACAUUCAAAACAGGGAAGAACCAGUGGCGGGAGGGCUCAGUUUUGCUUCUGUCCAUGUGCAUUCCAGGCAGAUCUGCAUCAAAGGUGUGAGGAGGAUUGAAACACCUUUAAUCUUGGCUUCAAAAGGCUCCACACACAAUGGUCUUUACAGCAGAGCUCUGCAGAUUUCAGCUCCAGGCCCUACUUGUCUACACAUGUGUGAGGGUGUAAGAGCAGCUAACAGUUUUUUUAGCAAGGUGUAAGUACUGCUUCCCUUGAAAAUGGUUUGAGGAACUGGGUGUGGUGGUGUGCACUUUUAAUACCAGUAUACUCACAAUCCCAGCACUCUGAUGGUCGAGAAAGGAUGAUUGCUGUAGAUCUGAGGCCAGCCUGAGCUAUACAAUGAGUUCAAGGCCAGCUUAGGAUACAAAGUGAGAUCUUAUCUCUAAAAGGCCUAAACAAACAAAUAUACAAAUAAAUUAAUUUUUAAAGUCCAAGUUGGGGUUGGAGAAAUGGCUAAACAGUUGAGACCAUGAGAAAUGGCUGUUCUGCUUUAGGACCUCAGUUUGGUGCCUAGUACCAUGUUAGGCAGUUUACAACCACCUCUAACUAUAGCUUUAGGGGAUUUGAUGGCCUCUUCUAGCCUUCACAGGCACCUACACACAUGUACAUGCACACGCACACACACACUUAAAAAUGAAAUAAAACUUAAAAAAAAGUAAGUACCUGUGUGGUGGUUUGAAUAGGAAUGCCCCUAUAGGCUCAUAUAUUUGGAUGCUUGGUCAUUAGGGAGUGAAAUUCUUGACAGGGAUUAGGGGGUAUGGCCUUGUUGGGGUAGGUGUGGCCUUAAUGGAGGAAGUAUGUCACUGGAGGUGGGCUUUGGGGGUCCUGCAGAUCCAGAUGUAGAACUCUCAGUUCCUUCUCCAGCACCGUGUCUGCCUGCACACUGCCAUGCUCCCUACCAUGAUGAUAAUGGACUGAACCUCUGAACUGUAAGCCAGCCCUGAUUAAAUGUUUUUCUUUACAAGAGUUGCUGUGGUCAAGGUGUCUCUCCACAGCAAUAGAAGACUGACUAAGACAACAUAAUAAUGUUAUAAGGAAAACAAUUAUCACUAAGAAACUACUAGUCUCUCCUAAAAUAAAAGAUCAUCUAUAUUAUGUUCCCUGAUACUCUGAAUCUAGCUGGAAAGGGAAGUUUGCAACUAUCCAAUGUGUGUGUGUGUGUGUGUGUGUGUGUGUACAUAUGUGUUUUCUUGUGUUAAAAUAUAUGUAAUCCUGGCAUUUUGGAAGUGGAAGCAGGAGCAGAGGUUCAAGGACAUUGUUGACUCCCUAGGGAGUUUGAGGCUAGCCCGGGUUUCAUGAAACCCUGUCUCAUCUCAAACAAAUAAAUAAUAUGGAUAUAAAAUGUAUCCUUUUUACCAUUUAUAAGCAUACAAUUCUGUGGCAUUGAAUACAUACACAAUGUCAUGCUACCACUACCCAUUCCCAGGAGGUUUUCAGCCGUCCAACUAGAAAACUCUGUACCCGUUAAACAACAACUCCCCAGGCCCCCUUAGCCCAACUAGUCUACUUCGUGUCUUUGAGAAUUUGACUAUGCUCAUUUUUAUAAGUGGGAUCAUACAUAUAUUUUCUUCUGAUUUGCCUUAUUUCACUCAGCCAAGGUUUGUCCAUAUUGUGGCACGGGUCAGAAUUCUCUUCCUUUUUAAGGCUAGACAAUCUCUCCCUAUACUGUACACACCACAUUUUGUCUACCCACUUAUUUAUUGCUGGGUACCGGGGCUUCCUCCUUUGGGCUAUUGAAUGGUGUUAUGAUGAAUGUUGUUUAUAUACACUUACAUAACACAUACUUGUUUACUGUAGGUUUCACAAACCUCUAAUCUGGAAUUUGUAUAAUAUAGGCAGUAGGUUGAUUUUAGUGUUUGUGUUUAUUUCCUUCUUUUUCUUUGAGACAGGAUCUUACUAUGUUGCUCUGGCUGUCAUGGAACACUGUGUAGACUAGACUGGCCUUGAACUCACUAAGAUCUGCCUGCUUAUGCCUCCUAAGUGCUAGGAUUAAAGGUGUGCACCAUCACACCUGGAAAGAAAUAGCUUUAAAAGUCCUUUGAAAAAUAAAAAAUAAAAAAAAAGAGUCCUUUGAGUUCCUGGUUGGGAUCAUUAUGUCAGAGUCUUUGGAGGUGAGACUCAGGUAUUCGUGUUAGUUGUAAACCUUACCACGUGAUUCAAUUGUGCAGCCGUGUUUGAGAAAUACAGCCCUGAAAAUUAAUGAGCAACCAGCUCAUUGCUGACUGCUGAGUCCUCAGCUAUUGGCACUAUUCUAGAGAGUUCUGAAUACGUUAGGUGGUGGGGGCUAGAUAAAGCGCGUCACUGGGGUGGACCCCCAGGGGAACCUUAUCUAUGCCUCUCCUUUUCUCCCCUCUCCUUCCUUCCCUUCCUGUGUCUCUCCUUCCCUUCCCCUCCCUUUCUGCUUCCUGUCAGCCAAGAAGUAAAGAUGGUCUUCCGUCCGGAGCUCCAGUUGCCAGAAUGUUUUGUCCAAGUGCAUGGAACUAACUGAGCAAGCGUAGACUGAACCCUCUGAAUCUGAUAUCAACGACUCCCAGACCUUCCAAUCCAAUGUAGUCAAAUGGAAUUCACUUCCGUACUUUUAAGACCCUCAAGCCAAAGUAUUAAACAGCUAUAACUAAAGAUCAGA